rnacentral:rRNA from 1 species
GAUGAACGCUGGCGGCGUGCUUAACACAUGCAAGUCGAACGGAAAGGCCCAAGCUUGCUUGGGUACUCGAGUGGCGAACGGGUGAGUAACACGUGGGUGAUCUGCCCUGCACUUCGGGAUAAGCCUGGGAAACUGGGUCUAAUACCGGAUAGGACCACUUCUUGGAUGUUGUGGUGGAAAGUUUUUUCGGUGUGGGAUGAGCUCGCGGCCUAUCAGCUUGUUGGUGGGGUAAUGGCCUACCAAGGCGUCGACGGGUAGCCGGCCUGAGAGGGUGUACGGCCACAUUGGGACUGAGAUACGGCCCAGACUCCUACGGGAGGCAGCAGUGGGGAAUAUUGCACAAUGGGCGCAAGCCUGAUGCAGCGACGCCGCGUGGGGGAUGACGGCCUUCGGGUUGUAAACUCCUUUCGCUAGGAACGAAGCGUUUUGUGACGGUACCUGGAGAAGAAGCACCGGCUAACUACGU